UUAGCAAAAAUGCUGAUGGCUAUCAUUCUAAGUCAACACUAGGGCAGCUGUACAGCUCAACAGCUGAUUGCCGAGGAAUGCUUAUGUCUCCUUUUUUCUGGUGAGACCUCAGGAUGAGAUAACCAAAUUCCAUCUGGAGAAUGAGCUUCAUGGAAUCAAGCUUUCCAUUCAGUUGUGCCAAAGCCUGAACAUUCUUCUCAUGUGUCAGAUUGAAUUAUGCGCAAAAAUGUGGCGAGGAAAGGAAAGACAGGCUGUGUAAUACAUUAAGCUACCCAAUGCUGCACUGGGACCCUGUGCUCCUGUAUGACCUUGUGGAUUGGCUGGCUAUUUCUGCCCCACUUCUUCCACUUUGAAAGGACUCUCCACUGUACGGAAGUACUGCUGUGCCACAUCCAUCAAGGCAUCAGAUUAAAGGGAGGACAGCAGCUGCAGAGCACGAUGGGAAGUUUCUGAGCCAUCCACAUGCAGUUUUCUAACUCAACCCAGAAGUGGGGCACAUUAGCUUUGACGUUAUAUGUCAGGAAGUUUUUUACCGCCCUGAAGAGUUACAAGUAGCGAUACAACAUGACACAUGGAUUACUAUGUUGUACAUUUAAUGGUGCACUUGGUUUGUUUUAAGAUGAAACAAUAAAGUGUCUCUAAAAAUACACUAAGCAUUUGGACUGCACUGAUGAUUCAUGUACUCCAAACAUCUCUCUCUCUCUCUCUCUCUCUCUCUCUCUCUAUCUUGCACAUAGCAAUCAUAGGCACAAAUAUAAACCUGUGCUUUCAGUCAGAACAAUGUGAGGGGGCUGGGUCAGUGACUCUCAAAGGGUCUUACAUCACAUUCCAGAGCCCAUUUCACUGAACAUCCAUUCAUUCACUACUAGAGAAGAUCCACUCAGAGAUGGU